rnacentral:rRNA from 1 species
CAGUCGCCGCGGGAAUACGAAGGGGGCUAGCGUUGCUCGGAAUGACUGGGCGUAAAGGGCGCGUAGGCGGCGAUCAAAGUCAGGCGUGAAAUUCCUGGGCUCAACCUGGGGGCUGCGUUUGAUACUUGGUUGCUAGAGUGAGGAAGAGGGUCGUGGAAUUCCCAGUGUAGAGGUGAAAUUCGUAGAUAUUGGGAAGAACACCGGUGGCGAAGGCGGCGACCUGGUCCUUGACUGACGCUGAGGCGCGAAAGCGUGGGGAGCAAACAGGAUUAGAUACCCCAGUAGUCCCUGUCUCUUAUAC